rnacentral:lncRNA from 1 species
GUCUCUGCCUCCCAAGUGCUGGGAUUAAAGGUGUGAACCGCCACUGCCCAGUGGUUAUUAGCAUUCUUAAUAGAUCCCAGUUAAUAAUUCUUAUCAGAACUAUAACAGACAGAUUUCUUCCCAUUCUGCAUCCUGCCUCUCUAAAUUGCUUAUUGUUUCCUUUGCUAUACAGACACUUUUUAAUUUCAUGAAUUCCCUUUGUCAAAUUUGGACAUUAUCUCCCAUACUGUUGAAAUCCUAUUUAGAAAAUCCUUGGUUGGGCUAGAGAAAUAGCUCAGUGGUUAAGUGCCUGUACUGUUCUUUCCCAGUACCCACUCAUAACUAUCUGUAACUCAUUUCUGUCCUUUCCUGGCACAUGUGCACUUGCCCACUGUGGUGGUUUGAAUAGGUAUGGUCCCCAUAGACUCAUGUGUUUGAAUACUUGGCCACAGGGAGUGGCAUUACUAGGAGGGGUAGCCUUAUUGGAAGAGGUAUGGUCUUGUUAGAAAAAGUGUGUCACUGUGGAAUUGGGGCUUCGAAGUCUUAAAUGCUUAAGCUACACGCAGUGUGAAACACAUUCCUCCUGGCUGCCUUAGGAUCAAGAUAUAGAACUCUCACCUCCUUCUACAGCACCAUGUCUGCCUGGAUGCUGCCUUGCUUCCCUGACAUGAUGAUAAUGGACUAAACCUCUGAAACUGCAAACCAGCCCCAAUUAAAUAUUUUUCUUUAUAAGAGUUGCCUUGGUCAUAGUGUCUCUUCUUCACAGCAAUAAAACCCUAACAAGACACCCACAAACAGACAUAAACACACAACUUAGAAUAAUAAAAAUAAAUCUUAAAAAAAGAUAAAGUGGUUGAUUGGACCUAUAUCUAGAAGGACUUUGCCUACGUUUUGCUAUUGGAGUUUCAGAAUUUCUGGUCUUAUAUUAUUAAAGUUUCUGAUGCAUUUUGAGUUAAUUUUUAUGCAGAUUGAGAGAGAUAAGCAUAACUUAUUUUUCUACAUGUACCUAUUGAAUUAUCUCAACACUGGUUUUUUUUUAAGGCUAUCUGUUUUCCAAUGUAUGUUUUGAAAAAAACUUUGUUGGGGCUGGAAAACUAAUUCACUGGUUAAGAGUACUUACUGCUUUUGCAGAGGCCCUGAAUGUGCUUCCCAGACUCAAAUUGGAUGGCCUAAAACUACCUGUAUGUAACUCUAGUUCCGGGGGAUCUAAUAUUAUCUUCUGGACUCCCUGGGAACCUGUACUCAUGUAUACAUAUACAUACAUAUAUCUAUGAAUAAAAAUAAUCCAAAGAGAAACCCAAUGAGCCCUUUACAUGGGUACUGUGAUCAGUCAUUAUGAUUGUGGAACAAGCAUUUCUAACCAGCAGGACAUCUCUCCAUGCCCCUCCCACUCUGUUAGAGAUCAAACCCAUUUGCACAUACCAAGCAACUUCUUCAGCACUGAGCCAUACCUCCAGCCCUUUAUCAACUGCUAAUGGAGCAAAUCUAGGUCUCUAGUGUGAUUCUUACCCUUCCUCUUAGAAAUGUAUGUGGGAUAUUUUAGGAGUCAGUAGAUUUAGUGCCUAUGAACUUCACCCUGAAAGAGUGAGCUGUGCUGGAUCCUCCCCGUAAGAAAUUCUAUAGAGAAGUGAUUCAGGGAACCUUCAGAAACUUGACUUUUACAGGUGAGAAUGAGUUGCCUAGUAUCUUCAUAGUUAAUCAUUUGCAAAGGUUCUCUGUGAUGCCCAGUGAUUUGAAACAUGGAAAAAACAACAUUUUAGUGAAUAUUUCAGGAAUGAUCACUUUAUGCUAUGAAUGCAGAGAAAAUAUAUGGGUUUUCUGUAAUGUAAUAAUUUGUGCCUUCUGAAUCUUCACUUUAGGAAAAAUUCUGGAAGUCUUGACCAUUGAAGAUAAAUACAAAAUUGUCUGGAAAAAUCCAAGACAGGAACAAGUUGUCCUUUAAGAGGACCCACCCAACAGCUGACUCAGACAGAUACAGACACCCACAGCCAAACAGUGGAUGGAGCUUGGGGACUCUUACAGAAGAACAAGAGGAAGGAUUUCAGCCUCUAAGGAAUAAGACCGCCACAAGAAGACCAAUAGAGUCAACUGACCUGGACUCUUGGGGUUCUCAGAGUCUGAACCACCAACCAAAGAACAUACAUGGGCUGGACCUAGGCUUCCCCACACAUAAUGUACCAGUUAUGCACCUUGGUCUUACAUGUGGGUCCCAAACAACUAGAGCAGGGGCUAUUCCAAAAGCUGCUGCCUAUAUGUGGGAUACGAUCCUCUAACUGGGAUGCCUUGUCUGGCCUCAAAGGGAGAGGAAGUGCCUAGCCUUGCAGAGACUUGAAAUGCCAGGGCUAGGGGGAUAUCCAGGGGACUCCACCCACUCACAGGAAAAGGGGAGGGAAAUGGUGGAAGGAUUGUUGGAGGGGGUGACCAGAAGGGGGCAGUGAGCAGGAUGUAAAGUGAAUAAGUAUAAACAAACAAACAAGCAAACAAAUAAAUAAUAAAGUUAAAUAAAAAAUAAAACAAAGGAUAACCUUUACACAGUGCAUAAAAUCAUUAUGCCUACAGACAUCUACAUGGUGUCCAGCAGCAGCCCAGACCACAGACAUCCACUUGGCCUUUGGUGGUAACAGACAUUGACACAGAUACCAGUUGCAGCAGCAUCAGAGACUCAGAUACAGCCCUUGGUGGCAGCCCUAGGGUCAGAACCUCCUCCUAUCUGUCUGUUCCUUGCUGCUGUGUGUCUCUAGUUACACCUUUCUCCACAUUGUAUGAACUUCUAGGCUUCACUUUCUCUUCUGCAUCUCCACUGGAUUCUCCAUUCUUCCCAUCUUUCUAUCACACAUUCAUCCAUUGUAGCACCCAUGGCAGGUGCCUUUCUUCCAUCCCAGGCAGGUGUCUUUCUGGAGGCUGCUGUGGCUGGGGUGGCCACUUGGGUCCUUUCCUAGUUUUUAAAUUUUAAUUUUUAAAGAUUUAUGCAUGUAUGUAUGUACGCAUGUAUGUAUAUGUGCACGUGAUACCCAAGAAGCCAGAAUAGGGAAUCAGAUUCCUUCCCAGAGUGGUGGUGAGUUGCCCAAUGUGGGUGCUGAGAAUCUAUCUCUGCUCUUCUGUAUAAGACCAACUAGUGCUCUUAAUUCUCUGAGCCAUCUCUCCAGUUCCCUUUUGUGUUUUAAAGUUUUAUAUCUCUUCGUUUUUCAUUUAUACUUCCUGCAAGCACACUUAGUACAUGUGCUUUACACUUAAAACACACACACAGAGAUAACCUUUACACAGUGCAUAAAAACAUUAUGCCUACAGACAUCUGCAUGGUGUCCAGCUAUGUGAUGUCUGGCUUAGGUAUGAUUCAGAUGGCUCAGAGUGAGAGCCUGGUGGAGAUGUUAUUGAACAGUACAGAAGCUAGUUCAUAUGGAACAUGAUGAAGCCACAGUACCAGGAGAAGUAGCCAUUCGCUAUUGAGGAAUAUAACCCAUAGAGACCCUGAAUAACAGAAGCUGUGGUGUAUGGUAAAGGGAAACAGACCCGCCACCAUCCAUCUUUUGAGGCAGCUGAAUAGCUCAAUUUAGUUUCCUAUUGUCUGCUUUCUAAGUGGCAUCUCUCAUGAGAAGAAGUGUUUCAAAGUGUGUGGGAGCACCUGCAUCUUUUUUAUAUUAUUCCACAGCUCAGUGAACUCAUUCAUACCUUUUUGCUUUAAGAUGUGCCAGGUUUCCUAGCACUGAACAAGUUUAUCAGAAGGUCCAGCUACAGCAAAAGUCAUUAGAAAACCCUAAGGGGAUGGUGGAGACUGGGGGGAGGGAAUGUAGAAGGGGGCACUGGGAAGAGGGGGACUGCAAUUGGAAUAUAAUAUGAAUAAAUUAAUGGUAAAAAAAAAGAAAACCCUAAACCUGAAGUAACUAUUAUACAAGAAACGUGGAAUGUUGGUGAUGCUUGCUUUCAUGAGUGUGGUAGCAUAUGCAUCUAAUCCCAGCAAAGGAGACAGAGGUAGAUACAGGCAGGCGUUUAUGAGUUGGAGCCCAGCCUGGUCUGCAUGAGUUCCAGGCCAGGUAGAGCUACAAAGUGAGACCCUAUCUCAAAAAUAAACAGAUGAAUAAAUAUUAAUAAAUGCUUAAGGAUGACCAUGAUAUACUUAUUUAAUAAGUAGACACUGACCACAAGUGGUGGUAUUUUUGUUUCUUCAUAGGCUUCUAUCCUAACAAUUUACCUAAACAUACUGACCUCAUAUGGUGUGGAACCAAAAGAGAGGCCAUUGUUGUUACAGACCCAUACUGUCACUGUUACUAAGUCUCCAUACCGUACAAGAAUACGUUUCUGAUCUUUAAGCCUAAUGUAAGAAGCUACAUUGUCAUAACUGUUAUGUUUUCAUAUCCUAUAAGAAUAUGUUUGUUUUCUAAGCCUCUGGCAAUUUAUGCUUUUCAACCAAUGAAUAUGUAACCCCAUGAUGUAAACCCACCCUUUGCCCUACUCUGAACUCCCGAACCUGUGAUAAUGACUGCCCUUUUGCCUUAUGAAGAUGUCUUCCCAGAUACCUCGGUGACUCCCCUUCCAUAUGGUGUAGUCUUUCAGUAUGCUUAUUGCCUCCUUCCUAAAAACCAACUGUCCUGGCAGCUGUUCUGCAUGGCAUUUAUUCACCUCACAGGCAGCCUCGAGCCCUAAGUCCUCCACUCUUCUGUCCAGGCAGGGACAGCCAAUUAUCUUGGCAGUUCUUUUCUAUCAACCCUAACCCUUCCCCAUAAAAGGGACCCCCCAAACCAGUGAGAAGGUGCUCUCUGAAAUCCCAGCUUUGGGAGAGGUAGCCAGCUGGUCAGUUCCAAAUUUGGCUUGCUUUAGUCAGACAGUUGUGCAAUUUUUUUUUUCAGGUCUAACAACAGACUUAAAAAUUGUUGGCCGGGCAUGGUGGCGCACGC